GGCGUAGAGAGCUUGUAGGCGGUUUGCCGCGUCUGCUGUGAAAGCCCGGGGCUUAACUCCGGGUGUGCAGUGGGUACGGGCAGGCUAGAGUGCAGUAGGGGAGACUGGAAUUCCUGGUGUAGCGGUGAAAUGCGCAGAUAUCAGGAGGAACACCGAUGGCGAAGGCAGGUCUCUGGGCUGUUACUGACGCUGAGAAGCGAAAGCAUGGGUAGCGAACAGGAUUAGAUACCCUGGUAGUCCAUGCCGUAAACGUUGGGCACUAGGUGUGGGGGACAUUCCACGUUUUCCGCGCCGUAGCUAACGCAUUAAGUGCCCCGCCUGGGGAGUACGGCCGCAAGGCUAAAACUCAAAGGAAUUGACGGGGGCCCGCACAAGCGGCGGAGCAUGCGGAUUAAUUCGAUGCAACGCGAAGAACCUUACCAAGGCUUGACAUACACCGGACCGCUGCAGAGAUGCAGUUUCCCUUCGGGGCUGGUGUACAGGUGGUGCAUGGUUGUCGUCAGCUCGUGUCGUGAGAUGUUGGGUUAAGUCCCGCAACGAGCGCAACCCUUAUCCUAUGUUGCCAGCACGUGAUGGUGGGGACUCAUGGGAGACUGCCGGGGUCAACUCGGAGGAAGGUGGGGAUGACGUCAAAUCAUCAUGCCCCUUAUGUCUUGGGCUUCACGCAUGCUACAAUGGCCGGUACAGUGGGUUGCGAUGCCGUGAGGUGGAGCUAAUCCCUAAAAGCCGGUCUCAGUUCGGAUCGAAGUCUGCAACUCGACUUCGUGAAGUUGGAGUCGCUAGUAAUCGCA
rnacentral:rRNA from 1 species